AUUGAACGCUGGCGGCAGGCCUAACACAUGCAAGUCGAACGAGUGGCGGACGGGUGAGUAAUGUCUGGGAAACUGACUGAUGGAGGGGGAUAACUACUGGAAACGGUCGCUAAUACCGCAUACCAUCGGAUGAGCCCAGAUGGGAUUAGCUAGUAGGUGGGGUAAAGGCUCACCUAGGCGACGAUCCCUAGCUGGUCUGAGAGGAUGACCAGCCACACUGUAACGGAGACACGGUCCAGACGCCUACGGGAGGCAGCAGGGGGGAAUAUUGCAAAAUGGGCGCAAGCCUGAUGCAGCCAUGCCGAGUGUUUGAAUAAGGCCUUCGGGUUGUAAAGUACUUUCAGCGGGGAGGCGUUACCCGCAGAAGAAGCACCGGCUAACUCCGUGCCAGCAGCCGCGGUAAUAC
rnacentral:rRNA from 1 species